rnacentral:rRNA from 1 species
GCUGGCGGCGUGCCUAACACAUGCAAGUCCAACGUGAAAGGGGAGCAAUCCCCCGGUAGGGUGGCAAAACGGGUGAGUAAUACAUGGGUGAUUCUACCUUAGGGAUGGGGAUAUCCUUCCGAAAGGAGGGGCAAUACCGAAUAUUGUCCGGAGCCGUGAAGGGUUCCGGGGAAAGGGAGGCUCUGAUACAAGCUUUCGCCUUAAGAU